rnacentral:lncRNA from 1 species
UUACUUGAAAUUCUGGUAUCACUAAAGUGAUGUUACCCAAGAUGUCCCAACAACUUCUUUAUGAAUAAUGUUGUUUCUAUUGUUGGCACACCUUAUAUAACAUAAAAAAAUACUGACAGAGAAUAAAUAAACUGCACAAGUAAUUGUUAACCCAGUUCAGCCAACUGCCUACUCUGGGGGAUACCAAUCCAGGAAGGAAAUCCACUAAUAGCUCUAGUUACUAAGACCUCCAGCAAACCCUAGGAUUUACGCCUUAAACUAAGACCUCCAGCAAACCCCUGGUUUACGCCUUAUAACCUCGACACUACUCAUGCAACUUCUGCCUAGGAACUCCUAGACAUGAGAUCCCAACUCACUUCCACUCACACAACACAACCUGUGUUGUUUAAACAAUGUUGGGAAUGAUGUGGCAACAACUUACCAAGACACUACUUCACUUUUGCUUAAAAUCUUCAAGUGAAUCACACACGGUAAACUCCAUACUUCAAAGCUUAGGAGUCACCUUAAAAUAAUAAACUUACUUCUUAACUCGUGUUAUAGAAUCCACAAGCAAGAAUUACA